AUGAAGUGGCAGCCGUUCAUGUCCAUGUUCAUGCUGAACAAGAUGUGUGAGCUCAUCUCUAGUGGAGUUAGGACUGACAAGGGCUUCAAGGAGGUGCACUUGAACACCGUUGCGAAGCAGGUGUUCGAGUUCUGUGGGCGAGAGGUGUCUGCCACCCAGCAUAUCUUCUCCUUCGGGCUGGCAACUGGGAAGCAUGCCAUGGGCUCGGGUGAGCCUCUUGGUUCUCCCAUGCUAGACUUCCCCGGGACACCGGACGUCGAGGUCCUUGAUGGCCCUGCAAGCCCGCUGCGAAGCCCUUCGACAAGCCAUUUGACCCCAUCCAUGAUAGGAAGAGGAAGAGAGGAGGCCUGA
rnacentral:rRNA from 1 species